AAGCCUGCGUCCUAUUAGCUAGUUGGUAAGGUAAUGGCUUACCAAGGCUAUGAUGGGUAGCCGGCCUGAGAGGGUGAACGGCCACACUGGGACUGAGAUACGGCCCAGACUCCUACGGGAGGCAGCAGUAGGGAAUAUUGCGCAAUGGGCGAAAGCCUGACGCAGCGACACCGUGUGGAGGAUGAAGGUCCUCGGAUCGUAAACUCCUGUCAAUUGGGGACCUGACGGUACCUAAUAGGAAGUCUCGGCUAACUCCGUGCCAGCAGCCGCGGUAAGACGGAGGGGGCAAGCGUUGUCCGGAAUCAUUGGGCGUAAAGAGCGCGUAGGCGGCUUUUCAAGUCAUGUGUGAAAACUUCAGGCUCAACUUGAAGAUUGCAUAUGAAACUGGAAAACUAGAGUACGGCAGAGGAAAGUGGAAUUCCUGGUGUAGCGGUGAAAUGCGCAGAU
rnacentral:rRNA from 1 species